rnacentral:rRNA from 1 species
GAUGAACGCUGGCGGCGUGCCUAAUACAUGCAAGUCGAGCGAACGGACGAGAAGCUUGCUUCUCUGAUGUUAGCGGCGGACGGGUGAGUAACACGUGGAUAACCUACCUAUAAGACUGGGAUAACUUCGGGAAACCGUAGCUAAUACCGGAUAAUAUUUUGUACCGCAUGGUUCAAAAGUGAAAGACGGUCUUGCUGUCACUUAUAGAUGGAUCCGCGCUGCAUUAGCUAGUUGGUAAGGUAACGGCUUACCAAGGCAACGAUGCAUAGCCGACCUGAGAGGGUGAUCGGCCACACUGGAACUGAGACACGGUCCAGACUCCUACGGGAGGCAGCAGUAGGGAAUCUUCCGCAAUGGGCGAAAGCCUGACGGAGCAACGCCGCGUGAGUGAUGAAGGUCUUCGGAUCGUAAAGCUCUGUUAUUAGGGAAGAACAUAUGUGUAAGUAACUGUGCACAUCUUGACGGUACCUAAUCAGAAAGCCACGGCUAACUACGUG